UACGAAGGGGGCUAGCGUUGUUCGGAAUUACUGGGCGUAAAGCGCGCGCAGGCGGUCCUUUAAGUCAGGGGUGAAAGCCCAGAGCUCAACUCUGGAACUGCCUUUGAAACUAGAGGACUUGGGUACGGGAGAGGUGAGUGGAAUUCCGAGUGUAGAGGUGAAAUUCGUAGAUAUUCGGAAGAACACCAGUGGCGAAGGCGGCCUGCUGGGCUGUUGCUGACGCUGAGGCGCGACAGCGUGGGGAGCAAACAGG
rnacentral:rRNA from 1 species